rnacentral:rRNA from 1 species
GGGAAGUUCCGUAUUAAAGUGUGCGCUUGUUCGCACCGACCUAUCGAAAGGGAAACAGGUUAAAAUUCCUGUGCCGGGAUGUGGAUUUUUGGCGGCAACGCAAACAAACUAGGAGACGUCGGCGGAAGCCCUGGGGAGAGUUCUUUUCUUUUCUUAACGACACGACCCACCUCGGAAUCAAUUUACUUGGAGAAGGGGUAGGUCUGUCGGCAGAGCUAGGUACUUAUGCCUGGUCCGGAGCGCUUUCGACGACCCUUGAAAAUCCUAGGGAGCGAAUAAUUUUCACACCCGGUCGUACUCAUAACCGCAUCAG